CACACAUGGAGAGAACGAUACGCCCUCACAGGGUCUCUCUUAUAUUACAGCCUCUUAAAGUGGUAGCAGUCAAAUAACCCUGCUGACUCAUUGCUACCAUUGCAUCAUCAUUACAACAUUACAGUAUUACAGCAUUAUAACUUUACAGCAGCUGGUCAGCUAUUAAAUCAUCAUUACCCUGACACUUUUUCUUGACAUAU